UACGGGGGGAGCAAGCGUUGUUCGGAUUUACUGGGCGUAAAGGGCGCGUAGGCGGUCGUGACAAGUCACUUGUGAAAUCUCCGGGCUUAACUCGGAACGGUCAAGUGAUACUGUCGGACUAGAGUACAGAAGGGGCAACUGGAAUUCUCGGUGUAGCGGUGAAAUGCGUAGAUAUCGAGAGGAACACCUGCGGCGAAGGCGGGUUGCUGGGCUGAUACUGACGCUGAGGCGCGAAAGCCAGGGGAGCGAA
rnacentral:rRNA from 1 species